GACGAACGCUGGCGGCGUGCCUAAUACAUGCCAGUUGAGCGAUGAAGAUUGGUGCUUGCACCAAUUUGAAGAGCAGCGCACGGGUGAGUAACGCGUGGGGAAUCUGCCUUUGAGCGGGGGACAACAUUUGGAAACGAAUGCUAAUACCGCAUAACAACUUUAAACAUAAGUUUUAAGUUUGAAAGAUGCAAUUGCAUCACUCAAAGAUGAUCCCGCGUUGUAUUAGCUAGUUGGUGAGGUAAAGGCUCACCAAGGCGAUGAUACAUAGCCGACCUGAGAGGGUGAUCGGCCACAUUGGGACUGAGACACGGCCCAAACUCCUACGGGAGGCAGCAGGAGGGAAUCUUCGGCAAUGGACGAAAGUCUGACCGAGCAACGCCGCGGGAGUGAAGAAGGUUGUCGGAUCGUAAAACUCUGUUGGUAGAGAAGAACGUUGGUGAGAGUGGAAAGCUCAUCAAGUGACGGUAACUACCCAGAAAGGGACGGCUAACUACGUG
rnacentral:rRNA from 1 species